AGAGUUUGGAACAGGCUCAGGACGAACGCUGGCGGCGUGCCUAAUACAUGCAAGUCGAGCGGACCGACGGGAGCUUGCUCCCUUAGGUCAGCGGCGGACGGGUGAGUAACACGUGGGUAACCUGCCUGUAAGACUGGGAUAACUCCGGGAAACCGGGGCUAAUACCGGAUGCUUGAUUGAACCGCAUGGUUCAAUCAUAAAAGGUGGCUUUUAGCUACCACUUGCAGAUGGACCCGCGGCGCAUUAGCUAGUUGGUGAGGUAACGGCUCACCAAGGCGACGAUGCGUAGCCGACCUGAGAGGGUGAUCGGCCACACUGGGACUGAGACACGGCCCAGACUCCUACGGGAGGCAGCAGUAGGGAAUCUUCCGCAAUGGACGAAAGUCUGACGGAGCAACGCCGCGUGAGUGAUGAAGGUUUUCGGAUCGUAAAACUCUGUUGUUAGGGAAGAACAAGUACCGUUCGAAUAGGGCGGCACCUUGACGGUACCUAACCAGAAAGCCACGGCUAACUACGUGCCAGCAGCCGCGGUAAUACGUAGGUGGCAAGCAGUGUCGGAAUAUUGGGCGUAAAGCGCGCGCAGGCGGUUUCUUAAGUCUGAUGUGAAAGCCCCCGGCUCAACCGGGGAGGGUCAUUGGAAACUGGGGAACUUGAGUGCAGAAGAGGAGAGUGGAAUUCCACGUGUAGCGGUGAAAUGCGUAGAGAUGUGGAGGAACACCAGUGGCGAAGGCGACUCUCUGGUCUGUAACUGACGCUGAGCGGAAAGAACGCCGAGCGAACAGGAUUAGAUACCCUGGUAGUCCACGCCGUAAACGAUGAGUGCUAAGUGUUAGAGGGUUUCCGCCCUUUAGUGCUGCAGCAAACGCAUUAAGCACUCCGCCUGGGGAGUACGGUCGCAAGACUGAAACUCAAAGGAAUUGACGGGGGCCCGCACAAGCGGUGGAGCAUGUGGUUUAAUUCGAAGCAACGCGAAGAACCUUACCAGGUCUUGACAUCCUCUGACAACCCUAGAGAUAGGGCUUCCCCUUCGGGGGCAGAGUGACAGGUGGUGCAUGGUUGUCGUCAGCUCGUGUCGUGAGAUGUUGGGUUAAGUCCCGCAACGAGCGCAACCCUUGAUCUUAGUUGCCAGCAUUCAGUUGGGCACUCUAAGGUGACUGCCGGUGACAAACCGGAGGAAGGUGGGGAUGACGUCAAAUCAUCAUGCCCCUUAUGACCUGGGCUACACACGUGCUACAAUGGGCAGAACAAAGGGCAGCGAAGCCGCGAGGCUAAGCCAAUCCCACAAAUCUGUUCUCAGUUCGGAUCGCAGUCUGCAACUCGACUGCGUGAAGCUGGAAUCGCUAGUAAUCGCGGAUCAGCAUGCCGCGGGUGAAUACGUUCCCGGGCCUUGUACACACCGCCCGUCACACCACGAGAGUUUGUAACACCCGAAGUCGGUGAGGUAACCUUUUGGAGCCAGCCGCCGAAGGUGGGACAGAUGAUUGGGGUGAAUCUAAAAAGG
rnacentral:rRNA from 1 species